AGGAUGAACGCUGGCGGCGUGCCUAAUACAUGCAAGUCGAGCGAAUGGAUUGAGAGCUUGCUCUCAAGAAGUUAGCGGCGGACGGGUGAGUAACACGUGGGUAACCUGCCCAUAAGACUGGGAUAACUCCGGGAAACCGGGGCUAAUACCGGAUAACAUUUUGAACUGCAUGGUUCGAAAUUGAAAGGCGGCUUCGGCUGUCACUUAUGGAUGGACCCGCGUCGCAUUAGCUAGUUGGUGAGGUAACGGCUCACCAAGGCAACGAUGCGUAGCCGACCUGAGAGGGUGAUCGGCCACACUGGGACUGAGACACGGCCCAGACUCCUACGGGAGGCAGCAGUAGGGAAUCUUCCGCAAUGGACGAAAGUCUGACGGAGCAACGCCGCGUGAGUGAUGAAGGCUUUCGGGUCGUAAAACUCUGUUGUUAGGGAAGAACAAGUGCUAGUUGAAUAAGCUGGCACCUUGACGGUACCUAACCAGAAAGCCACGGCUAACUACGUGCCAGCAGCCGCGGUAAUACGUAGGUGGCAAGCGUUAUCCGGAAUUAUUGGGCGUAAAGCGCGCGCAGGUGGUUUCUUAAGUCUGAUGUGAAAGCCCACGGCUCAACCGUGGAGGGUCAUUGGAAACUGGGAGACUUGAGUGCAGAAGAGGAAAGUGGAAUUCCAUGUGUAGCGGUGAAAUGCGUAGAGAUAUGGAGGAACACCAGUGGCGAAGGCGACUUUCUGGUCUGUAACUGACA
rnacentral:rRNA from 1 species